rnacentral:rRNA from 1 species
GUCGAACGAAGCAAUUUAGCGGAAGUUUUCGGAUGGAAGUUAAAUUGACUGAGCCGUUGGACGGGUGAGUAACGCGUGGGUAACCUGCCUCACACUGGCGGACAACAGUUAGAAAUGACUGCUAAUACCGCAUAAGCGCACAGGAUCGCAUGGUCUGGUGUGAAAAACUCCGGUGGUGUGAGAUGGACCCGCGUUUGAUUAGCUAGUUGGUGGGGUAACGGCCUACCAAGGCGACGAUCAAUAGCCGACCUGAGAGGGUGACCGGCCACAUUGGGACUGAGACACGGCCCAAACUCCUACGGGAGGCAGCAGUGGGGAAUAUUGCACAAUGGGGGAAACCCUGAUGCAGCGACGCCGCGUGAGUGAAGAAGUAUUUCGGUAUGUAAAGCUCUAUCAGCAGGGAAGAAAAUGACGGUACCUGACUAAGAAGCCCCGGCUAACUACGUGCCAGCAGCCGCGGUAAUACGUAGGGGGCAAGCGUUAUCCGGAUUUACUGGGUGUAAAGGGAGCGUAGACGGUAAAGCAAGUCUGAAGUGAAAGCCCGGGGCUCAACCCCGGGACUGCUUUGGAAACUGUUUAACUAGAGUGCUGGAGAGGUAAGCGGAAUUCCUAGUGUAG